rnacentral:rRNA from 1 species
CGUGGCUUCCGGAGCUAACGCGUUAAGUCGACCGCCUGGGGAGUACGGCCGCAAGGUUAAAACUCAAAUGAAUUGACGGGGGCCCGCACAAGCGGUGGAGCAUGUGGUUUAAUUCGAUGCAACGCGAAGAACCUUACCUGGUCUUGACAUCCACAGAACUUUCCAGAGAUGGAUUGGUGCCUUCGGGAACUGUGAGACAGGUGCUGCAUGGCUGUCGUCAGCUCGUGUUGUGAAAUGUUGGGUUAAGUCCCGCAACGAGCGCAACCCUUAUCCUUUGUUGCCAGCGGUCCGGCCGGGAACUCAAAGGAGACUGCCAGUGAUAAACUGGAGGAAGGUGGGGAUGACGUCAAGUCAUCAUGGCCCUUACGACCAGGGCUACACACGUGCUACAAUGGCGCAUACAAAGAGAAGCGACCUCGCGAGAGCAAGCGGACCUCAUAAAGUGCGUCGUAGUCCGGAUUGGAGUCUGCAACUCGACUCCAUGAAGUCGGAAUCGCUAGUAAU